rnacentral:rRNA from 1 species
GAUGAACGCUGGCGGCGUGCCUAAUACAUGCAAGUCGAGCGAACGGACGAGAAGCUUGCUUCUCUGAUGUUAGCGGCGGACGGGUGAGUAACACGUGGAUAACCUACCUAUAAGACUGGGAUAACUUCGGGAAACCGGAGCUAAUACCGGAUAAUAUUUUGAACCGCAUGGUUCAAAAGUGAAAGACGGUCUUGCUGUCACUUAUAGAUGGAUCCGCGCUGCAUUAGCUAGUUGGUAAGGUAACGGCUUACCAAGGCAACGAUGCAUAGCCGACCUGAGAGGGGGAGCGGCCAAGCGGGAACGGAGACACGGUCCGGACCCGAACGGGAGGCAGGAGUAGGGAGUCUUCCGCAAGGGGCGAAAGCCUGACGGAGCAACGCCGCGUGAGUGAUGAAGGUCUUCGGAUCGUAAAACUCUGUUAUUAGGGAAAAACAUAUGUGUAAGUAACUGUGCACAUCUUGACGGUACCUAAUCAGAAAGCCGCGGCUAACUGCG